AUGCAAAUUAUUUGCAGAUUUGCAGAGAUGAAGAGAAAAAAUGUUAGCAUAAGGAGUUUUUUUGCAAGUAGUUCAAGUACUCCUCGUGUCGAACCUGAUCCUAUCCCAGCCAGUCCACUGAUCCCAGCGAAUGUGAACCCAGAUCCCCUUUCCCUGGCUGUAGUGACCAUAGUUCCUACUUCAAGUAAUGAGAGACCUGAUCCCUCAACUCCAAGCAAUGAGAGAAAUGACACCACAUUUGAUGAGAGUACAAACCAACCAAGAAUGCCUAUACUAGAAUUUCAUCCAAGUCAAAUUAUUGCUGAUCCAGGACUUAGAAUACCAAUAGAAGAUUAUGCCCCUGAAAUUAGAAGUGAUGUGAGAAGAGCUUAUUUGUUGAACAAGUGA
rnacentral:rRNA from 1 species